rnacentral:rRNA from 1 species
GAUGAACGCUGGCGGCGUGCCUAAUACAUGCAAGUCGAGCGAACAGACGAGGAGCUUGCUCCUCUGACGUUAGCGGCGGACGGGUGAGUAACACGUGGAUAACCUACCUAUAAGACUGGGAUAACUUCGGGAAACCGGAGCUAAUACCGGAUAAUAUAUUGAACCGCAUGGUUCAAUAGUGAAAGACGGUUUUGCUGUCACUUAUAGAUGGAUCCGCGCCGCAUUAGCUAGUUGGUAAGGUAACGGCUUACCAAGGCAACGAUGCGUAGCCGACCUGAGAGGGUGAUCGGCCACACUGGAACUGAGACACGGUCCAGACUCCUACGGGAGGCAGCAGUAGGGAAUCUUCCGGAAUGGGCGAAAGCCUGACGGAGCAACGCCGCGUGAGUGAUGAAGGUCUUCGGAUCGUAAAACUCUGUUAUUAGGGAAGAACAAAUGUGGAAGUAAAUAUGCACGUCUUGACGGUACCUAAUCAGAAAGCCACGGCUAACUACGUG